rnacentral:lncRNA from 1 species
GCCGCUUCCUCUCCCUCCACCGCGCAGCUCCAGCCGCCUUGCCGCCGCCGCAUCCCCUUCCAAGUUCAGGCUGUGGGUGGAACCUGUUGCUUUAGCUCACGUUUCCCUUCCCCUCCGGGCUGCACGCUGAGGAUGACCUCAGCGAGGUGUGUGUAAGGGGAAUGGAGGGUUUGGCUUCCUUGAGACAGAGGAUCUUGCUCGCCUCAAAGAGGAGGGCAGUUUGCCCCCUUCCUCCUGACUCCAAGACAAAAGAGAGAAGACUGAAGAGUGGUAAAGCUUGUGGUGGAUCCAGGGCCUCUCAGAGUUCACCUGAGCUUUCCCAAGUCUGGUUUGUUCUCUCUACCCUGCUGCUACUACUGCAAGUGACUUUCACAAGAUGCUUCUGAGCAUAGCAUUGCUCUGCUGUGACCACUGCAGAUGUCAAGAGAAUUUCUGCCUUUUGGAACUUGGACAAUAUUGGCCACCUACCCAGAGAGAGGAGAAGGAUAAUCCAGACAUAAAGGUAGCUCCCACACAUCCUUUGGAUCUCUGAUAAAGAGUCAUAUACUUAAAGAGCCAUCCUCACAUUCCUGCCCAGACUGUGAGCUGCAUGAGAGAGGCCAUGUCUCAUUUUGUUCCAUUACAUCUCCAGCACUUAAGAGUGCUGGACACAUAACGAGUGUCUGACACAUAACGAGUGCUGAAUAAAUGUUUGUUAACUG